AAGGUAAACACGGUACAGUGGCCGGGGUGAUAGGGAUGGGGCAAUGGUUAGCCGGAAUUUUGUGGCGUGAAGGUCGCCUAUGCUGUUUAUGAAGGCUGAUGUGAAAAGGCGGGGCUCAACUCCGUAGUGCGUUGGAAAUUGGUAGACUAGAGUAUUGGAGAGGUAGGCGGAACUACAAGUGUAGAGGUGAAAUUCGUAGAUAUUUGUAGGAAUGCCAAUUGGGAAGCCAGCUUACUGGACAAAUACUGACGCUGAAGCGCGAAAGCUAGGGGAGCAAACAGGAUUAGAUACCCUUGUAGUC
rnacentral:rRNA from 1 species